CGUUCGCUGCCAGUCGGCUAUCUGGAGCUACUGAUUAUACUUUUGCGCGGAACUUAGGCACUUUAUAUUUCAUCUUGCUACGCUACGAAAAUGGAAACAUCAGCCAGAACUAUAAUUUGUACUGGAUCGUGCUUUAAUAUCACUAUACGCUCAUACAUAAGUACCAAAUAUAGAUGGUUGGGUAUGUUGCGUGGGGAGCCCAACAUCCAUUUUGAAAGAUACAGAUUUAUUGGUCAUCUGACUUUAGGAGCACAUGCAUGCAGGAUACUUCCAAUUCUAGAAAUCCAAUAUAUCUAUGUGGAAUUCCACUUACAAGAGUAUUUCAUUUUCGGCGUAAGGCUUCAUUUCCGGGGCAUUUUUCUAUUUAUUGCAUCGUGUGAAAGUAGAUAAUAGCAUUACCUACCAAAAUAAUUGAAUGGGCGUAAAUCGGCUGGAGAGCAUCUAAUCUGGCUCUUAACACACAUCAUCGUACUCAUCACGCCGAAAACACAUGUAGGUAGGUUUCUAAACUGUGACAAAAUUCCUAUUCCAACGGUCACAUGGCGGUCAAGUUAUCAGGAAAGUGGCGUCCUCAUUGAUGUUGAUCGUUUGGAUUUGAAUUUGUAUACGCGUGUGGAGGAGCAUCGAACGGGCAGUGGACACAUUCAACCAGGUGGCAGCGAAGUGGAGCGGCUGGCCUGCUGAUAAUCGUCUAUCGUUUGAUAUGGGUUGAACAUUUCAAGUGUUCCACUGGGGAGAAUCCGCUUUGCACCCGGUUCCUUGUUUUGUGUUAAUGCAAUAGAGGUGUUUUUCCCUAGAUAACAUUCUAUUUUGUUUCAAGUAUGGCACUGCACAUACACACAAGCCAUGGUUCGACGAUAAUUUACAGAUAAUUUCCACUCAUCAUAUCCUCAGAAUGGAUUAGUGCUUUGGGUACAUUCAAGUCUUUAUUACGUCGCAUACAAAAGUGUUUACAGUUUCAGUUUAGCCGCAUUUAUGGCAUAGCUGCAGGAUGAUCGAAAUGGUGUUAUAUAACGAAACGGCUGGGUGCAGUGAUCCAUAUGGAUUUCUACUUCUUACGCUCUGCCUCCUCCAUGGCGCGCAUCAUUUUGGCAUCAUGCUUCUCCCUUAUGGCACGCUGGAGCUCCUCGCGAUGACCUGCAGCGGUGUGCCUGAAAGGAGCGAGUGGAAUCAAUGAGCUGUGUCCCAAAGGAACGCAACGGAGUGGAGACAAUGUGCUACCUUGUCCGUUUUGCUUGUUAAACUGCUUGAUGAGGCGACGCUUCUUGGAGGACUCCGGAAGGCUCUGAAUGUGCGCGUACAGCUGCGCCAGUGCAGUGUCCGUGUAAUUGCUGUUGUUUGCCGCUGCCGUGGCGGCACGAUCUACAAAAGUGUACACCGUGUUGACCGUCGAGUCGUCCGAGAUGGAUUCUUCAAGGGUUUGCUCCGGUGACAUGGUUUUUUGCGUUUGCACUCAAGAAAGUAUGCCCGAAUAUCGGUGGCUAGCUUUCCGGGAACUUCGAAGAUUUCCAGACCCUGCUGAAUCAUGUAGGACACAAUGCUGGACAUCUUCUUCGCCGUAUAGUGGAGCGCCUCAGGCGGCAUUUGCCUGGGGCAAAUCAGGUGCGGUGUAAACAAGAUGGCCAAAUUCUCCGCGGACAUCUUGUUGCUCUCCUCACGCGCUGCCACCGAAUGGAGCAUUUUAAUAAUGUGCUGCAGUAACUCGCGAUGCUCUUCGGGGAGCAGGAGAAGGAGCAGCUGCACCGAGUUGAGAAGAUGUUGUUGGCGCUCUGCGGUAGCCGCCACCUGACCCCCCAUUAAUGCCUGGCUAAGCGGCGCUAUCUGAAGAUGUGCUGGAUAGUGGGCGUCUGUAAGCAAAGGCUCUGGCAGCUCGGCCAGAAAGCUCUUAAAAACAGUGGCACAGUCGUGAGCCGAGAAUCCUGUCAGUUCCAAAUCCAAGGGCUGGUCGUGCUGUAUGUGCAUUCGUAGCUCGUUCUGCCUGGAAACGGCUCCUGUCUUGCGAAAUAGUCCCUCCUGGGUGAGAUCUGCAGAAUAGCAUUUCCGCAUUUAGAAUAAUUCAAUUUUCCGGACUCUCCCUGUCACUUACUCUUCUCCAGCAUAAGAAACUCUUUGAGCUCCUCCAGGUGCAUCAGAAAGCCUGCAUCAAUUUGUUGCUGCAGCGUUUCAGUGGGACUGUUGCCUGCCGACUUACUGCCUGCCCCAGCCGUGCAGCCUGUGGCAGGUCCGCGAUUCUUCUUGGAGAGGCGAUUCCACUUCUUUAUCUUGCCCUUAUCUUCGUAGACGAUUUCAUGGUACGGCAUGUCGAACCUGCAACCCAUAAAUCGGUAAGCACUAUAUUUCGAUGGGAUGGCAGCGUCGCUCGUGGCAACUUACUCGUCGGUGUUUAGUUCCAGCUCGAAGGAGAGGUGCAUGCGCACCAGAGACUUGUAUUUUUCAUAAUUGCUGUUGCGCAUGCGUGUCGCUAGGUCGCGGUCAUUAAAUUCAUUGAUGUUGGCGUAUUCCAUGUCCAUUGUUAUACGAAAGGGCGUAUACAGGGCGACAGCAGUAGCCAAAGCAACAGCACAGCACAGCACAAACGAAAAGGACUUCCGUAGAUUCGAAUCCCAGCACUCACACGCUCACUUUAACAAAUAUUACUUUUCUAAAAGUACAAUAUAGAAGGUUUGUGGCCUGACAGCAUAUUUGUUGAUAGCUUUGCUGGUGGAAUUUAUUUGCGGAAAAUUGGGCGAGACGCGCUGCAAAAAUUGAAAUAUUGAACUGGCAGAGCUGUCACUGGCGUCCAAAGAACAUUUUGUGCGAAAACGCCAUGUCAAUGUUAAAGAAUUAUAAGCUGUACACUAAUGCUUCUUUAUUUACAGCUGAAAUUAGUUAGUAAAUCUCUUAAAGAACUCGAAAUUACAAAUUUCGGACCAGCCGAUUGAGGCGCCCAUACACAUGGCGCCAAAGCUGGCCGAUAAACCGGCUAUAUACUGUGGUAGGACCGAUCCCUUGGACAUGUUGUGUUCUGUUCUGUUCUCCGUGAUGCAAAAAAUGGAACUGAAACUGACACGCAGACCGUUAUUUGGCUUGACAAAUUGCCCUGCAUGAGAUAACCAAAGCGUCGACGCUGGCGUACAACUGGCACGCUGGCAGAGGGGGAAAUACUUGAAGUUGGAGAGAGUCGUAAAUCAGAUUCUACAGUUUCCCUUUAGAACGGCGGCGGAGGCAGAGGUGUGGAAAGCGCGCUUUAACGUAAGCAAAAGUCCC